rnacentral:rRNA from 1 species
CCUACGGGGGGCUGCAGUGAGGAAUAUUGGUCAAUGGCCGGAAGGCUGAACCAGCCAUCCCGCGUGCAGGAUGACGGCCCUAUGGGUUGUAAACUGCUUUUGUACCUGAAGAAACCUGUUUACGAGUAGACAGUUGCCGGUAAGGUAUGAAUAAGCAUCGGCUAACUCCGUGCCAGCAGCCGCGGUAAUACGGAGGAUGCAAGCGUUAUCCGGAUUCAUUGGGUUUAAAGGGUGCGCAGGUGGGAAAAUAAGUCAGUGGUGAAAUACUGCCGCUU